GAUGAACGCUGGCGGCGUGCCUAAUACAUGCAAGUCGAGCGAACGGACGAGAAUCUUGCUCCUCUGAUGUUAGCGGCGGACGGGUGAGUAACACGUGGAUAACCUACCUAUAAGACUGGGAUAACUUCGGGAAACCGGAGCUAAUACCGGAUAAUAUUUUGAACCGCAUGGUUCAAAAGUGAAAGACGGUCUUGCUGUCACUUAUAGAUGGAUCCGCGCUGCAUUAGCUAGUUGGUAAGGUAACGGCUUACCAAGGCAACGAUGCAUAGCCGACCUGAGAGGGUGAUCGGCCACACUGGAACUGAGACACGGUCCAGACUCCUACGGGAGGCAGCAGUAGGGAAUCUUCCGCAAUGGGCGAAAGCCUGACGGAGCAACGCCGCGUGAGUGAUGAAGGUCUUCGGAUCGUAAAACUCUGUUAUUAGGGAAGAACAUAUGUGUAAGUAACUGUGCACAUCUUGACGGUACCUAAUCAGAAAGCCACGGCUAACUACGUG
rnacentral:rRNA from 1 species